ensembl:ncRNA K02A4.7 ncRNA
ACAUUCUCACGGUCUCUGUUUCGUUUUGUUAUUCGUCUAGCCAUCUCGUGUGAUCAUCAACCAUUGACUAGCAACCACGCGGAGCUCGUGGUUGCGGUCGAAUUGUGCAGUCAUCCUCGUGGUGAUAUUGUCUUCAAACUCGUCAUUUCCUGCGGGUACUAAAAAUACAAACUUACGGGACGAAAAAGUGGUUUUGAACUCGGAAGUGACCGACU